GAUGAACGCUGGCGGCGUGCUUAACACAUGCAAGUCGAACGAGAACCCUGGGGGUAACUUCGGGGGGACAGUGGCGAAUGGGUGCGUAACACGUAGGCGACCUGCCCCCGAGCGGGGGAUAACGGUCCGAAAGGAUCGCUAAUACCGUAUGCGGUUAUGGGAUCAAAGCCAUAACGAAACUCACGGGGCUCGGGGAGGGGCCUGCGGCCCAUCAGCUAGUUGGUAGGGUAACGGCCUACCAAGGCAACGACGGGUAGGGGGCCUGAGAGGGUGACCCCCCACACUGGCACUGACACACGGGCCAGACUCCUACGGGAGGCAGCAGUGAGGAAUAUUGCGCAAUGGGCGAAAGCCUGACGCAGCAACGCCGCGUGAGCGAUGAAGGCCUUCGGGUCGUAAAGCUCUUUUCCCAGGGAAGAGGAAGGACGGUACCUGGGGAAUCAGUCACGGCUAACUACGUGCCAGCAGCCGCAGUAAAAC
rnacentral:rRNA from 1 species